ACUUGUUAAUUUAUAAAACUAGUAAACAUUAAAUUUAGCAAACCCUAAUAGCUAAAAUUUGUUUAGAUUGGAGCAAUCUUAAUGUUAUGGGUCAGAACUUUCACAUUCUAGUACUAGCGGUUUCCCUAACAAUUGACAUAAAUAAAAUGGAACUAAUUUUAAGGUGUAUGGUAAAUAAAUAAUUUUUGACAAGCUUUUACAGCGUUUAGUCGUUAGUUAGUAAUUAAAACCAGGCUAGUAAAUGUGGAACAGUAUGAUACAAACGUCCCAAACCGUCGAAAGUCCUUAUUCGUCAUUAAAAAAUAAUAGCCAGUUACCACAGCGUAAAGAAGGAACAAAGAACGACGAAGAUCAAGCGAAGUCUGACAAAAGUUUCAAAGAAGAGAUAAAAGAAACCGUGUUUUUCAAACCUUCGGUAAAGCGUGUAAAAUAUUCGAAAAGAAAUUCAAAGACCGCUAAUUUUGAAGACAAAAACCAAUGUGAUGGAACCGUCAAUAGUCUUCUUUAUACCACGGCUGCAUACAUCGUGAAGAACGAAUGUAGACUGAAGCAAUUCUACAGCAGAAAGUUUAACGCUGCGUGGGAUAUGAUCAAUUCCGAGAAAUAUUCGGGAAACAUUUUAGAGCAGUGUUACGAAACCGUUAGGGAUUUGAAUAAAAAGCAAAAGCUCCUUCGAUGCAUUGAAAAUGAUGACAUAACGGAAGAGUCCAUGGCCGAUAUCAUGUACUUCGACGAGGAGGUGUUUUUGAGGGAGAAACAUAUGUUUGAGGUUGUCAACAGGAAUCCCGCCAAAAAUGUCGCAGAGUCAUUUCACAUUUUGUAGUUUUCAAUUUAAUUUAGAACCAGAUGGAGUUAUAUCUAGUAAACAAUAAACUAAAACGCUACGCUAGUUAUGCUUGUUGCCGGGUUUGAUAAACUCCACUUUAGUCACGAGUUUUUUAGACACAAACGAAUCGAGUGCUUAAUAAAUAAGUGACUGAAAAAAAUAAUCAACGUGCCGGCAUACUCUUUCUAUGACCAUUAGUUUUUUUCUACAUUUUUGCAAAACACAAAACUGACAAACAAAAAAAAAAGGAAAAUAUCGCCAUAAACGUCCGAAGUGGCUUUCGAGUAGUGAAGGUUUUUUUUAGUUAUUUAUUUUAGCGAAAAUGCCAAAGAGAUGCUUUUUUUAAUGUAAUUGAAAAUGACGAUAAAUUAUUGGCUUACCGCGGUUUUUAUCAUUUAAAUGAACUAAAAUGGUCUCACAUUCGCUUGUCGUUAAGUACAAGGCAGAACUGAUAAUUGCCUAUCAAGUUUGAAUGCAAAAUGUAGAAAUAGUAUAUUAGGCAACAAGUGCGGUAGACGGCAUAUGACUUACGAGUUUUUAAUAAACGAGUGAGGUAAAAAGUUUACCGAACGUGUUGUAUACUAUACUUUUUCUACGACCGUUAGUUUUUGGGUACAUUUUCGCAAAACACGAAUACAUUCACUGACAUGACGGUCAGAAUUGACAAACGUCAAAAUUCAAAGUGUGGGAAAUAUCUCCGAAAACAUCCAAUUGCUCCCAAACCCGUGCGGUAAAAUCCCGGAAAUGUCCGAAGUGGCUCGGAUUCGUGGGAAACGAAACUGACGUGGUAAAGCGACGCUUGCCGCACACUAGAUCGACACGCAAAAUCAACCCCCUCGUUUCGCCGACCAGCCGCAUCUCCUGGUCGCCUGAUAAAAAUCUAAGGGUGUUUCACCAGAGGGUUGGUUUGAAGGGAUGGCCCCGACCCUCGCCCCGCCUAGACACGUUCC